rnacentral:rRNA from 1 species
GAUGAACGCUGGCGGCGUGCCUAAUACAUGCAAGUCGAGCGAACAGACGAGAGUGCUUGCACUCUCUGACGUUAGCGGCGGACGGGUGAGUAACACGUGGGUAACCUACCUAUAAGACUGGGAUAACUUCGGGAAACCGGAGCUAAUACCGGAUAAUAUUUAGCUUCGCAUGAAGCAAUAGUGAAAGACGGUUCUGCUGUCACUUAUAGAUGGACCCGCGGUGUAUUAGCUAGUUGGUGAGGUAACGGCUCACCAAGGCAACGAUACAUAGCCGACCUGAGAGGGUGAUCGGCCACACUGGGACGGAGACACGGCCCAGACUCCUACGGGAGGCAGCAGUAGGGAAUCUUCCGCAAUGGACGAAAGUCUGACGGAGCAAUGCCGCGUGAGUGAAGAAGGUUUUCGGAUCGUAAAACUCUGUUGUAAGGGAAGAACAAGUACGUUAGUAACUGAACGUACCUUGACGGUACCUUACCAGAAAGCCACGGCUAACUACGUG